CGUUGGCUGUUCCAUUUGUUUUGAAUGCACUCGAAAUGAAAAGCAAUUUGAGGAAGUCAACCUUUAGAGAGGGCUUUCGCUGUUGAAGUGCAAACGAAAACUUAAUUAGGAAAAGGAUAAUUGUCGACUGCGCAGUUUCCUUUUUACGAUUGGCUAAGUCACAUUGCGAGCACUUCCUCAUGCAAAGUGCGCGACGUCGCACGUCGACAUUUACAAAAUGUCAAUACAUCCGCGGACAGUAAAUGUAUAAGUAAACUAUGUCAAGAAGCUGCAUCUGGCACAUCAGUCCCUGCAGAUGGGGGGGAGAAACAUCUGGAAGGACAUUGAGAAAAUGACUGUGCUUUGGAGCCCAGGGAGACCUCUUCUAUUGCCCCAAAUCACCAGACAUCCUCCAACGGUUCACUUGACACAUCAACUCAUUUCCACUCAUGCCAACAAAGCGAAGCAAUGUGAAGUUGGAAAAAAGACAAGUGCCCCUCAUUCUUGGUGUGAACUGCGCUGGACUGACUGGAACCAAUGCCUUCCUUCGCCCACCAGUGUGACACCCGCCU